UACGUAGGGGGCUAGCGUUGUCCGGAAUCAUUGGGCGUAAAGCGCGUGUAGGCGGUCCGGUAAGUCCGCUGUGAAAGUCGGGGGGCUCAACCCUCGAAUGCCGGUGGAUACUGUCGGGCUCGAGUCCGGAAGAGGCGAGUGGAAUUCCUGGUGUAGCGGUGAAAUGCGCAGAUAUCAGGAGGAACACCAAUGGCGAAGGCAGCUCGCUGGGACGUGACUGACGCUGAGACGCGAAAGCGUGGGGAGCAAACAGG
rnacentral:rRNA from 1 species